AUGCAGACGCUCCAGUUUUCAAACAAGACACAGAGCAAGAAAUUGCACGUGCCUUCAUUUGCCCUUGCCCUUGUGCUGCUCAUCUCCUUGGCCUCUCUCACCAGCUCCUGCAGCGAGCAGGAGAGGGGCUCCCUUCUCCAGUUCCUCGCCGGGCUCUUGCAAGACGGUGGACUCGCUGCUUCAUGGCAGAACGGCACGGAUUGCUGCAAGUGGGAAGGGAUCACCUGCAGGCAAGAUAGGACGGUCACCCAUGUCUUGCUGCCUUUUAAGGGCCUCGAGGGAAUUAUCUCACGAUCCCUUGGGAUCCUCGAUGGGCUGCAGCACCUUGAUCUCUCUCACAACUCGCUGUCCGGUGCUCUGCCGUUGGAAUUGGUGUCGUCCAGCAGCAUCAAAAUCCUUGAUGUCAGCUUUAACCAGCUCAAUGGAGCACUCCACGAGUUGCCUUCUUCGGCCCCUCCCCGACCUCUCCAGGUACUGGACAUCUCAAGCAACUUAUUUGCAGGACACUUUCCAUCCAUCACGACGGAGAAUCUGGUCACACUCAAUGCCAGCAAUAACAGCUUUACUGGGAAGAUACCAACUCAACUCUGUAGUACCUCACCAUCCCUCACUGUGCUUGAACUGUGUUUCAACGAAUUCAGUGGCAGCAUCCCCCCAAGUCUUGGUAAUUGCUCCAGGCUGAGAGUGCUCGGGGCUGGAUACAACAACCUCAGUGGAGUAAUCCCAAAUGAACUCUUCUACACAACAUCAUUGGAGUACCUGUCAUUUCCUAACAACGAUUUACAUGGAGCUAUCGAUGGUACAAACAUAACCAACCUCAGAAAUCUUGUAACCCUUGAUCUUGGAAGGAACAGCUUCAGCGGCAAGAUUCCAGUUUCUAUAGGACAGCUCAAGAAAUUGGAGGAGCUCCGUUUGGACGACAACAACAUGUCAGGGGAGCUGCCAUCUGCUCUGAGCAACUGCACAAAUCUGAUAACAGUUGACCUCAAGAGCAAUAAUUUCAGCGGAGAACUUACAAAGGUCAAUUUUUCCCACCUUCCCAAUCUAAGAACAUUAGAUGUUUUCUUGAACAACUUCAGCGGCACAAUUCCAGAUAGCAUAUACUCUUGCAGCAAUCUGACAGCACUGCGGCUAGCUGGCAACAAUUUAUCUGGGCAGCUUUCUCCACAAAUAGCCAAUCUGAAGUACCUCACCUUCAUGUCACUUACUGACAAUUCUUUCAAAAAUAUCACAAAUGCACUUCACAUCCUUAAGAGAUGCAAGAACCUCACCACCCUGCUUAUUGCACUCAACUUCAGGGGAGAGAUCAUGCCAAAGGAUGACAAAAUUGAUGGUUUUGAGAAUCUUCAGGUUUUGGGUAUGGGAGGAUGCGAAUUGUCUGGCCAAAUACCACACUGGAUAUCAAAGCUAGGAAAUUUACAAAUAUUAGUAUUGUCUGACAAUCGGCUCAAUGGGUCAAUACCAGCCUGGAUCAAAACCCUAAGCAACCUGUUCUAUCUGGACAUAUCAAACAAUAGCUUCACCGGGAGGAUUCCAACAGCAAUUAUGGAUAUGCCAAUGCUGAAGUCAGAGAACAGUAAAGCCCAUUUAGACCCAAGGGUAUUUGAGCUACCUGUUUAUAGUAGUCCAUCACGACAAUACCGUGUACCCACUGCUUUGCCUAAAGUCCUGGAUCUAAGCAAGAACAAAUUCACUGGUGUGAUCCCCCUGGAGAUCGGUCAGAUGAAAGCCCUUCUUUCACUCAAUUUCAGCUUCAACCACUUGACAGGACACAUCCCACAAUCAAUAUGCAAUCUCACAAAACUGCAGGUGUUGGACUUGUCGGCCAACAAUCUGACAGGUGAAAUCCCAGCUGCAUUAAACAGCCUGCACUUUCUUUCAGCAUUCAACAUUUCGAACAAUGACCUCAAAGGGCCUAUUCCAUCUGGAGGCCAGUUUAAUACAUUUCAGAAUUCUAGCUUCGACGGGAAUCCGGAGCUCUGUGGUUCUGUACUCGCUCAUAAAUGUGGUUCAGCUUCAACCCCUCUAAUCUCCCCAAAACAACGAAAUAAGAAGGCCAUUUUUGGAAUUGCAUUUGGUGUGUUCUUUGGAGGCAUUGCUAUUCUUUUGUUGCUGGGGCGUCUCUUUGUCUCAAUCAGGAUGAAGGGUGUUACAGCAACAAGUCAAAGGGGGAAUAAUGGAGACGUUGAUGCAUCUUCAUUUUACUCCAGUUCAGAGAAAACAUUAGUAGUGAUGUGGAUGCCACAAGGCAAUGGAGAAGAAAACAAGCUCAAAUUCAGUGACAUUUUGAAAGCCACGAACAACUUUGAUAAGGAAAACAUUAUUGGAUGCGGAGGUUAUGGAUUAGUCUACAAGGCAGAACUACCUGAUGGCUCCAAGGUGGCAAUUAAAAAGCUCCAUGAUGAAAUGUGUCUGAUGGAAAGGGAGUUCAGGGCAGAGGUUGAUGCACUCUCCACGACACAACAUCAAAAUCUUGUACCACUAUGGGGUUACUGCAUCCAGGGAAACUCAAGGCUCCUCAUAUAUUCCUACAUGGAGAAUGGCAGCCUAGAUGAUUGGCUUCAUAACAGGGAUGAUGAUGUUAGCUCAUGUUUUGACUGGCCAACUCGGCUCAAGAUCGCACAAGGAGCAAGCCUGGGACUUUCUUAUAUCCAUGAAGUCUGCAACCCUCAAAUUGUCCAUCGAGACAUCAAAUGCAGUAAUAUCCUACUGGACAAAGAAUUUAAAGCUUAUGUUGCAGAUUUUGGGCUAGCCAGAUUGAUCCUUUCCAACAAAACUCAUGUCACAACUGAGCUAGUCGGCACGAUGGGUUACAUUCCCCCGGAGUAUGGGCAGGCAUGGGUUGCUACAUUGAGAGGCGACAUCUACAGUUUCGGAGUAGUCUUGCUUGAGCUGCUUACUGGAAUGCGGCCUCUUCCAAUCCUAUCCACAUCAAAAGAACUUGUCCCAUGGGUGCUGGAGAUGAGGUCUGAGGGAAAGCAGGCUGAGGUCCUGGAUCCAACCAUUCGAGGCACAGGAAAUGAAGAGCAAAUGCUGAAGGUGCUUGAAGUCGCUUGCAAAUGUGUCAACCACAAUCAAUUCAUGAGGCCAACGAUCAUGGAUGUAGUCUCUUGCCUGGCCAGUAUAGACGCUGAGCACAGAUGCAAAGAUCAGUCAUGA
rnacentral:rRNA from 1 species